UAUCGCAUUGUAACGUAUUCGUAUUUUGGUGACACUUCAGUGUAAUAGAUAGAAAACAAUUACCAGAACAAUUUCAACAGCACCGAUGAUAUACAUAGCAGCAGCUAGUGUAGUACCCGUAUAGAAGAGCAUUCCUACGGCACCACCGAAUUCUGGACCCAAACUUCUGGAUAUCAUGAAGUAAGACCCUCCAGCUGGUACAACGCCAUUAGUCGCGAUGGCACUCAUACUGAUAGCUGUCAGCAUCGUCUAUGUAUACAGAGAAAUUUUUUUUGCUUAGAGUAAUCAAGCUCGGCCAUAAACGACUCAAUUUAUUAAUCACGAGAUUAAUUCGUGUCGCCAUUAAUCUCUACACCCAUCCAAUCAAUAUUGAUUGGAUCAAUUCAUAUCCAUUAUAUUGAAACUUCACUUACCACGCAACAACAACAUAACACGAUGAAGAAUCCCUGAAAAGCUCCAGCGGUGCCAACGACCCAGGUCAAACGAAUGAAUAGAAUCACGCCAAAGAUGUUUUGGAUGCAAGGUAGGAA
rnacentral:lncRNA from 1 species